AAGCCACAUGGCGACAUAGAGCGGAACCCGAAAACCUGUCUCAGUUCGGAUUGGAGUCUGCAACCCGACUCCAUGAAGCUGGAUUCGCUAGUAAUCGCGCAUCAGCCACGGCGCGGUGAAUACGUUCCCGGGCCUUGUACACACCGCCCGUCAAGCCAUGAAAGCCGGGGGGCGCCUGAAGUCCGUGACCGCGAGGGUCGGCCUAGGGUGAAACCGGUGAUUGGGGCUAAGUCGUAACAAGGUACC
rnacentral:rRNA from 1 species